UGUAGAUGAAACAAGCUCCAUUGCAAACCACAUCGAAGGUUUCCCGAUCUCUCCCGGCGACGCCGCAGGCAGGCUCUGGCGCACAGCAAGGCUUUGAAUCAAAUCAAUGGGCGGAGAAGUUCAUCAAGAACGGGGCAACCAGCAAGACACAUGCUUUGAAUCAACUCCGGUCAUCAUGAACAGAAAGAGAAUGCAGCACGGAGAACCAGCAAUCCAGACGGGAUCAUCAAGCAGGUCCGGCACAUCUCAGGGUGGACACGGUCCGGGCCGGUCCGGUCCCGGUCCGAGCCGUCGUUUGGACCGGCCGCCGGUGGUCCGGACCGGACCGGACUGAGCAUCACGACGGUCCUGAUUUCUGGGACCGGACCGGCAGCGGCCAAGCCCGGGCCGGACCGAGCGGACCGGCCAACGACCACCGGCGGCGACUUGCACGGGUGCAGCGGCGAGGUGUGCGACGUGCGCUGGUGCUGUGACAAGGUGGGCUUCAUGCGAGAGCGCCGGCGGCAAGGUGGGCGAGGUGUGCGCUGGGCGGCGCGCCUGUUACCCACGAACCUGCAGAUAUUUGUUCAUUAGCAGUUUUCCCUUUUGCAUGCAAGUAAUGUAGAACGAGUAUGCGGCCAAGAUUUUCUGUUUAUGGGCCUUGCCGUGAUUAGAGGAUCAAACCUGACGUCGAGUUCUUCCUCAAAUGGCGCCAUGAGUUUCGGAUCAAAUCGUGAUUCCGUCGUAUUUUUUGUUUCCAUCUCGACUGCAUAAAAAAGGAAACUGCAACGUGGGGUGAUGGCCCAUGAUUAUAGGAA